rnacentral:rRNA from 1 species
UACGAAGGGGGCUAGCGUUGCUCGGAUUGACUGGGCGUAAAGGGCGCGUAGGCGGUUCGUACAGUCAGACGUGAAAUUCCUGGGCUCAACCUGGGGGCUGCGUUUGAUACGUGCGGACUUGAGUGCGGAAGAGGGUCGUGGAAUUCCCAGUGUAGAGGUGAAAUUCGUAGAUAUUCGCAAGAACACCAGUGGCGAAGGCGGCUCACUGGUCCGGUUCUGACGCUGAGGCGCGAAAGCGUGGGGAGCAAACAGG